GCCUGAUGUGGGACUUGAUCCCGGGACUCCAGGAUCGCGCCCUGGGCCAAAGGCAGGCGCUAAAUCGCUGAGCCACCCAGGGAUCCCCCCAUUAUAUUUUAAACACAAAAUUUUCAAACCUAUACUGAGAUAGAGUGAAUAACACAAUGAAGCCCCACAUCCAUCACCCAGCUUCAAUAAAUAUCACCUCAUAGUCAAUCUUGUUUUCUCUAUAGCUUGUUUUGUCUAUACUGACUCCUGAAGCAAAUCUCCGACAUGGUUUCGUUUGUCAACAUUUUUGUGUUUAUUCUGUACUUAACUUAUCUUCAGCUCCUGAUACAGUAUCUGCUCAAGAUGCUGUAGGCUCAGAUCAAACAUGAACCUCAGCCUCAAGUCUGAACAUCUGAACAUCUGGACUUAACACUGGUGUUUCUAAUGGUGCCAUGUGUCCCAAACUGGACAACCCCCAGUCUGCUUUGCUCCUUCUGGAUGGCCCAACGUUGCCCUCACCACCCACACUGGAAGCCUGAGAAGCCAUCCUGUACUGCCCUCUCCUGUGCUCUCUAUUUUCAUUCAUGAGGCCCUAAACAUUUCCCAAACUUGCCCCCUCUCUGGUCCACCCCCACUAAAUACAGGCUCCAUGUGUUUGUUUGGUUCACUUGCAGUGUUCUAGCGCCUACAGUAGAGCCUGCCCUGAAACAAGUGCUCAAAAAUCUUUGCUCAAUGAAUGAAUCCCACUAACACCCGAGUGCAGAGCAUGCACUAUUUCUG
rnacentral:lncRNA from 1 species